ACCAGCAUCCCGAACGCAAAAAACGGACAGCGGGUCCACGUGCUAGGGAUUCGACCGCAUCCAAUGCAGGUGGGAAGAUCCCGCUAGACUAAAAUAGCUUAUCCUUAUCAAAACCCGGAAAUGCCAAAUGGACACGUGGGAUGAGGGUUCGGUUAAAUAACGCAGGAUGGUGGCCUACAAGGUUUCAGUGUGUUUCUGGAAAAGGAAAUAAUAUUCAGGAUGCCUAACACCGAUGAGUGAAGCCUCAAGUUAAUGAGCCCUGGGCUGGAGGCUUCCUAAAACACUAUGCAAAUGUGUAUUAAACAAGGCGUAGAGGAAACACUGACCAUUUUAAGAUGGUUGAUGCAACUUCUGAAAAUCUGAAGAACUUUGUUUCAAGCUGGUAUUAGCAUUUCACGAAAAGGAUCGGGGAGUUCUGCAUUAGGGUGAAGUAGAUUUCUCAUUAACAUGGAUGAAAAAUACCUAUUGAUAGUAUAAUUCGUUGAGCAGAGGGCAGAAGAGGGCGCCGCAACUCUGAGCAGGGUUGAGAAGCCUGUUUGGAUCCAGCUCUGCCAUUCUGGGCCGUGAGGUUACCAAUGUAGCAGUGAAGAAAGCCGGGGAUCACAGGCUCUCCUCCUUGUUAUAACAUUAGUAACAACACAAGAGGAGAGGAAACCAAGAGAGAAGGUAAGGGGAGACUCGAGUCUUUCUCAUGCUUUGGUUGUUUGCUUCUGCUAUGCUCAAAAGCAGGUAAGCAUAGCCUUGCUUUCUGUAAACUAAAACGCUGGCAACAUCCUCUGUUAUUUGUUGGACAUUGAGCUGUGUUCCUUGCCACGUUCAAGGUCCUUGUUCCUGCUCCAUCCUAGAGCACACAAUGUUUGUUGUUAUUAUUCAUACUACUUAUGAGGUUUGGUCAGUUUAUCAACCAUAAUAAUUUUCCUGGCUAAUUACAUGGCAGUUUGUAUUUUCACAAUGUCCUGCAGCCACAACUUGUGUAGGGAGUGAUGUUUAGGCGGGCUACAAGUUGUGUGUGAUGGAUAUUUAACUUUGCAUACUUAUUAUAAGCACAAUAAAAUAUAUGUUUGGCUAUGGGUUAAUAUCAAUACUCAAUGAUUUAUCUGCCUGGUCCCUAAUUUCUAAGACGCACAAGUUAGCUAGAACUGUAACUGAGCCAGUAGGUAGAUUUCCUACUCCCGUUCCGAAUGCUGGGAGAGGCACUAAUGUAAAGCCAGUAGGUAGAUUUCCUACUCCCGUUCCGAAUGCUGGAGGAGGCACUAAUGUAUAGCCAGUAGAUAGAUUUCCUACUCCCGUUCCGAAUGCUGGAGGAGGCACUAAUGUAUAGCCUGCCUAGUGCUUGGAUGCAGUUGUUGAUGCAGUUGGACUCACCUCAACCACUGCUUUGAGGAAACCCAAGAGGAGGCUCCCUUUACCCUUGAAAACACCCUAGGUGCCUGAAGUACCUCAAUUGGAACCUCCUGUAUUUAUUCUAUUAAGCCCAUAAUAAAUUUAGUUCUUU
rnacentral:lncRNA from 1 species